GAAAUGCGAUAAGUAGUGUGAAUUGCAGAAUACAGUGAAUCAUCGAAUCUUUGAACGCACAUUGCGCCCUUUGGUAUUCCUUAGGGCAUGCCUGUUCGAGCGUCAUCUAAACCUUCAAGCCCUGCUUGGUGUUGGGUGCCUGUCCCGCCUCCGCGCGCGGACUCACCUCAAAUCCAUUGGCGGCCCCCGCGUCGGCCACGAGCGCAGCAGAAACGCGAACUCGUGAGCCCGUCCGGGCGGCUCCCAGAAGCUACACCCACCCAGUUUGACCUCGGAUCAGGUAGGGAUACCCGCUGAACUUAAGC
rnacentral:misc_RNA from 1 species